CCCUUAGAUGUUCUGGGCCGCACGCGCGCUACACUGACGAAGUCAGCGAGCAUGUCCUACGCCGACAGGUGCGGGGAAUCUUGUCAAACUUCGUCGUGAUGGGGAUUGAUUAUUGAAAUUCUUGAUCAUCAACGAGGAAUUCCUAGUAAGCGCAAGUCAGCAGCUUGCGUUGAUUACGUCCCUGCCCUUUGUACACACCGCCCGUCGCUCCUACUGAUUGAGUGUCUCGGUGAAUUCUUUGAUCUUCUGUCGAUUCAGUUCACUGAUCCGACGGUGGAAAGUUGAAUGAACUUCGUCACUUAGAGGAAGGAGAAGUCGUAACA
rnacentral:rRNA from 1 species